rnacentral:rRNA from 1 species
CCAUUGAAAGAGUGCGUAAUAGCUCACUGGUCGAGUGACCCCGCGCCGAAAAUGUACCGGGGCUAAUCAUAUUACCGAAACUGUGGCUGAACCUCUUUAGAGGUUCGUGGUAGGAGAGCGUUCUAAGGGCGGUGAAGUCAGACCGGGAGGACUGGUGGAGCGCUUAGAAGUGAGAAUGCCGGUAUGAGUAGCGAAAGACGGGUGAGACUCCCUUCCACCGAAUAUCUACGGUUUCCUGAGGAAGGCCCGUCCGCUCAGGGCUAGUCGGGACCUAAGCCGAGGGCGAUAGGCGUAGGCGAUGGACAACAGGGAGAGAUUCCUGUACCAGUGCUAAUUGUUUAA